rnacentral:rRNA from 1 species
UACAGAGGUCUCAAGCGUUGUUCGGAUUCAUUGGGCGUAAAGGGUGCGUAGGUGGUGAUGCAAGUCUGGUGUGAAAUCUCGGAGCUCAACUCCGAAAUUGCACCGGAUACUGCGUGACUCGAGGACUGUAGAGGAGAUCGGAAUUCACGGUGUAGCAGUGAAAUGCGUAGAUAUCGUAAGGAAGACCAGUGGCGAAGGCGGGUCUCUGGACAGUUCCUGACGCUGAGGCACGAAGGCCAGGGGAGCAAACGGG